rnacentral:piRNA from 1 species
UGGAGAGGUCAUCAAAAGGACCACAGCUC